rnacentral:rRNA from 1 species
GAUGAACGCUGGCGGCGUGCCUAAUACAUGCAAGUCGAGCGAACGGACGAGAAGCUUGCUUCUCUGAUGUUAGCGGCGGACGGGUGAGUAACACGUGGAUAACCUACCUAUAAGACUGGGAUAACUUCGGGAAACCGUAGCUAAUACCGGAUAAUAUUUUGAACCGCAUGGUUCAAAAGUGAAAGACGGUCUUGCUGUCACUUAUAGAUGGAUCCGCGCUGCAUUAGCUAGUUGGUAAGGUAACGGCUUACCAAGGCAACGAUGCAUAGCCGACCUGAGAGGGGGAGCGGCCACAGUGGAACUGAGACACGGUCCAGACACCGACGGGAGGAAGCAGUAGGGAAUCUUCCGCAAUGGGCGAAAGCCUGACGGUGCAACGACGCGUGAGUGAUGAAGGUCUUCGGAUCGUAAAACUCUGUUAUUAGGGAAGAACAUAUGUGUAAGGAACUGUGCACAUCUUGACGGUACCUAAUCAGAAAGACACGGCUAACUACGUG